UAGUCCACGCCCUAAACGAUGUUAACUCGAUGUUUGGCCCUUGCGGUUGAGCAUCCAAGCGAAAGCGUUAAGUUAACCACCUGGGGAGUACGUCGGCAACGAUGAAACUCAAAGAAAUUGACGGGGACCCGCACAAGCGGUGGAGUAUGUGGCUUAAUUCGAUGCAACGCGAAGAACCUUACCUGGGCUUGACAUGCCGUCGCAGAUCCUGAAAGGGAUUGUCAGUUCGGCUGGACGUGCACAGGUGCUGCAUGGCUGUCGUCAGUUCGUGUCGUGAGAUGUUCGGUUAAGUCCGGCAACGAGCGCAACCCCUAUUGUUAGUUGCCAGCGAGUAAUGUCGGGGACUCUAACGAGACUGCCCGCGUAAGCGGAGAGGAAGGUGGGGACGACGUCAAAUCAUCAUGGCCUUUAUGCCUAGGGCUACACACGUGCUACAAUGGCAGGUACAAAGGGUUGCGAAGAGGUGACCUGGAGCUAAUCUCAGAAAGCCUGUCCCAGUUCGGAUUGG
rnacentral:rRNA from 1 species